UCUUUCGGCCUGGGAGCUGGAGGGAGGGAGGUGAGCAAGGAGUGGGGGGAGGAGGAGAACCGCCCCCAUCCCCGUUUCUCCUCCCUACUCACCAAGUCCCUGGACACCUCGCUUCCCUCCUCCUAACCUGCCUCCUUUCCCCCUUCCCCCCUUCUACAUUUCCCUUAGCCCACUCCCCUCUCAAGAUGCAUCGGCUCCCGGGCAAGGGACAUCCUCUUCCUUACCUCUGAGGACCGAGUGGGGAGCGAAUUUGACUAGCUAGUAGCUAGUCUGGACUCACAAAGAGCCGGGUUCGGAGCAGAACGCUGUACUGCUUUCAAAACCAAACCCGCUUUUGGAGAAGAGUCAUUUGGGCCACUGGGGCGCCGAGGGUUCGGGAAGAGGAUGUGCCGAGGUCCAGAUUGUGUUCAGAUGGCAGGCGUGGGAGGAAGCCCGGCGAGCCGGCGAGCCCAAGACUACAAGCCCUCGCGCUAAGCACCAGAAGAUGCUUGUACCGCCUCCCUCAAAGUUUUCCAACUCUGGCCAACUCAUUUCCCUUCCACUCUGCAGCCUGCCUGCCACAUUGGCAUUCUGCUCGCCCUCGUUCUGGCUUCCCUGAAAUAGGAAUGGAAAUGACUCUGAAAAGGGACUGCUCCAAGUUAAUUGGCAUUAAAGAAUUCAUUUCAAUUUGGUGACAGUAAA